UUUACUGUCUUCUUCAACAUUAAGGUAACUACAAACAUAUUAUUGAAAUAAAAAGUACUUUUUUUUCAGAAUUUAGCCUGCAACAACUUAAAGAAAAGGACCCAGA
rfam:Loxodonta africana unplaced genomic scaffold scaffold_76, whole genome shotgun sequence.